UAUGUUAACUUUUGAAUAACUAUUUUCAGCACGUGGUUGUCCCGCAGCUGUGUUACGCAUGUGGGAUUCGUUAACGUCUGCUCCACGUGAGCUCUGUGGUGUUAAAAAUCCUGAGGACAAUUGGGGUUUCCUUUCAGAGGAUAAUAAUAUGCGACUCAGUUUUAUAUCAGCUGAUAAAGCAGUAGGGCAACACGGUUUUCGAGCGGUGUGGACCGAAGUGAGUACAGAUUGCGAGAAUCAGUUUCAAUGCAUCAAAAAUAAAUACUGCAUCGAUGAGUCGCUGCGGUGCAAUAACAUAGAUAAUUGUGGGCCAGACGAUUCGUCGGACGAGGAAAACUGUGCAGCAUCAGCCCCAUUGUCACCAGCACUGACUGGGGUAUCUACUGCCAUGCUUCUCUCUCUGUGCUUUGUAUUCGUGGCCAUCUGAGCCCCCUUCAUGAAGCUUCCAGAUGAUCCGGCAUGUUAUGCUCCCCUUAUCACGCCGGUCUACCGUCCAAUUCGAGAGCGUGGCAAGAUGUGACCGCCCGGCGAUCGAUAUUGCAAUGCGCACGGAAAGUUGUUUCCAUCGCAAUCGGCAAUGGUUACGCAUGAGCGGCGCGUAAAAUAAAUAAGUAAAUUAAUAAAUCAUAAAUCAACGCAUCGAUCACGGAACGACGUCACUCGUGCGUGACUCCACCUUUCGCUACCGCGUCCUAGGAGAUAUAAACAAAUGAACCAUUUUGCAUGCCUGCCGGGUCCGGCCUUCCGUUCCUUAUGCGUUUAUUCGACCAGACGUUUUUAUCAAUUACACGAUAAAUAUUGCUAAUUUUGCAAAACGGUACAUGACUUUUCUUUUCAGUUUAACCUAAUCUACCGUAAUUUUUAAUUUGGCUACUAACGAGUCUGACACCCUGUAUAUAUUUUUUAUAAAUUUGAAUUUAUUUUUAUCAUUUUUACUUGAACAACCACCCUCCUUAACAUUUCUUCACAUGUUGAAUGUCAAAGUUAAGUUUAUCUUCAAAAUUCAUAAUUUUUCUCUAUUCAUAUAAUGGUUUUCAAAUAUUGAUAAGAAAUAAGACUGAAGAACACCAAUUGAUUUCCAGUGAUUUGUCAAAUCACAGUUUCAUUAUCGACUCAAGAAAUUCAUUUUUUAAAAAUCAGAAUAGAAAUAAUUAUAUCCAACACGAACGAAGAGCAUGUCAAGAAGGAAUGCAGUUUAAUAUACAUAUAUACGCCUUUACUGAUUAUCUAACAAUAAGUGCAUGCAAUUCUCUACUUCUAUUUCCGAAUCUUAUACAUCAUUUCUUCUUUGAAUUACCUAUCUGUUUCUUGUGAUCUUAUAUCUUCUGAUCUACAUGAAGCAUAAAUUAAGAAAUAAUUAUAAUUAGAAGAUAUACGUUAUCUAUU